rnacentral:rRNA from 1 species
UACGUAGGGUGCAAGCGUUGUCCGGAAUUAUUGGGCGUAAAGAGCUCGUAGGCGGUUUGUUGCGUCGGCUGUGAAAUCCCGAGGCUCAACCUCGGGUCUGCAGUCGAUACGAGCAAACUAGAGUGUUGCAGGGGAGACUGGAAUUCCUGGUGUAGCGGUGAAAUGCGCAGAUAUCAGGAAGAACACCCGUGGCGAAAGCGGCUCUCUGGGACGGUACUGACGCUGAGACGCGAAAGCGUGGGGAGCGAACAGG